rnacentral:rRNA from 1 species
GACGAACGCUGGCGGCGUGCUUAACACAUGCAAGUCGAACGGAAAGGCCCUGCUUUUGUGGGGUGCUCGAGUGGCGAACGGGUGAGUAACACGUGAGUAACCUGCCCUUGACUUUGUGAUAACUUCAGGGAACUGGGGCUAAUACCGGAUAGGAGAUCCUGCUGCGUGUGGGGGGUUGGAAAGUUUCGGCGGUUGGGGCUGGACUCGCUGCUUAUCAGCUUGUUGGUGGGGUAGUGGCUUACCAAGGCUUUGACGGGUAGCCUGCCUGAGAGGGUUAACGGCGACAAUGGGACUGCGAUACGGACCAGAAGCGUACGGGAGGCAGUAGUGGGGAGUAUGGCAGAGUGGGCGGAAGUGAGAUGCAACAACGCCGCGUGCGGGAUGCCGGGUUUCGGGUUGUAAACAGAUGUGGCAUGAGACGAAGCGGGAGUGACGGUAAUGGGUAAGGAAGCACCUGCUAACUACGUG